GCUGUGAUGAUGCUUGGUGGCAUUGAUCCUUUGGAACUGAUUUGGUCCACAAUUGUCCUCUAAGAAGUUCUGAGCUU
ensembl:snoRNA